rnacentral:rRNA from 1 species
CCGGUUGAUCCUGCCGGACCCCACUGCUAUCGGGAUAGGACUAAGACAUGCUAGUCGAGCGCCUCCCAGCCACGACGGAGGCGCGGCGCACAGCUCAGUAACACGUGGCUAACCUGCCCUCGGGACGGGAAUACCCCCGGGAAACUGGGGCUAAUCCUCGAUAGGUGAAGAACUCUGGAAUGAGUCUCCGCCCAAAAGACGCUUAAAUCAUGCUUUUAGGCGCCGCCCAAGGAUGGGGCCGCGACCGAUCAGGUAGUUGGUGAGGCAACGGCUCACCAAGCCUUUAACCGGUGCGGGCCGUGGGAGCGGGAGCCCGGAGAUGGGCACUGAGACAAGGGCCAGGSCCUACGGGGCGCGGCAGUCGCGAAAACUUCGCAUACCGAAAGUGUGACAGGCUAUCCCGAGUGCCAUCCGCUGAGGAAGGCUUUACCCAGUCUAGAAAGCUGGGAGAAUAAGGAGAGGGCAAGUCUGGUGUCAGCCGCCGCGGUAAUACCAGCUCUCCGAGUGGUGUGGAUGUUUAUUGGGCCUAAAGCAUCCGUAGCUGGCCAAGUUAGUCCCCUGUUAAAUCCACCGAAUUAAUCGUUGGUGUGCGGGGGAUACUGCUCGGCUAGGGGACGAGAGAGGCCGACGGUAUUUUCGGGGUAGGGGUGAAAUCCUAUAAUCCCGAGAGGACCACCAGUGGCGAAGGCUGUCGGCUAGAACGCGCCCGACGGUGAGGGAUGAAAGCUGGGGGAGCGAACCGGAUUAGAUACCCGGGUAGUCCCAGCUGUAAACGAUGCAGGCUAGGUGUUUGGGCGGCCACGGGCCGCUCUAGUGCCGCAGGGAAGCUGUUAAGCCUGCCGCCUGGGGAGUACGGUCGCAAGGCUGAAACUUAAAGGAAUUGGC